rnacentral:lncRNA from 1 species
ACUGAUCUAGAGAGUCAACAGUUGGGGAAAUAAGCAUUCCUUCUUUCUUCUUAGUAGACUAUGGAUGCAACUUUUCUGCACCAGUGGCGAUGCCGUCUCCAGGAAGAAUAGCCGAUUAGAACGGAAGCACAGCCUUGCAAUUAGGGCUUCAGAAUGCCAGUUCUCAAACCUCCCUACCCUUGGAGGCAUCUACUUCUGACGUCAGCAGUGACACAAUGAGAAACUCCUGGGGCAUUUGGAAGCUGCUGAAGGAAAUGGCAACCCACUCCAGAACCCUUGCCUGGAAAAUCCCAUGGAAGGAGGAGUGUGGGUGACUACAGUCCAUGGGGUCGCAAAGAGUUGGACACGACUGAGCGACUUCAUUUUCUUUCUUUCUUUCUACAUUGUGUUUCAAUAACGUGAGGCAAGAGAAGUGGAGAAAGACUGAGCGACUUCAUUUUCUUUCUUUCUUUCUACAUUGUGUUUCAAUAACGUAGGGCAAGAGAAGUGGAGAAACAUUUCCUGAGUUUGGGUGGGGUUGAUCAUGGGAGUGGAUGUUUAGAGUUAGGAAAUGGCAACCCACUCCAGUAUUCUUGCCUGGAGAGUCCCAUGGACAGAGGAGCCUGGCGGGCUACAGUCCAUGGGGUUGCAAAAGUCGGACGUGACUUGGCGACUAAACCACAACCACAUGAAGGCUGAGUGACUUUUAACGUAACGACUUGAUUUUUCGGCCACACUGGGUCUUCCUUGCUUUUCUCAGGCUUUCUCUAGUUUGUAGUGAGCAGGGGCUACUCUUCGUUGUGGUGCUCAGGCGUCUGUCUGCGGUGGUUUCUCUUGUGGAGCUCAAGCUCUAGGUGCACAGGCUCAGCAGUGGUGGCCCCGGUUCCUAGUUGCUCUGGGGCAUGUGGAACCUUCCAGCACCAGGGAAGAUUCCAAACCCUGUCCUCUGCAUCGGUAGGCAGAUUCUUAUCUACUGCGCCCACAGGGAAGCCCCUUAGUGAUUUUUGAUAAAUAAUUUUCAGGGUUUUGCCAAGUCUUUUUUUUUUUCUUUUUUCUUUUCUUCUUUGUAACUUCUUUAUAUUAAAAUGUUUUACGUUUCCCAGGCGGAUGCCCAAGGUGGCAAAGGGUUGGUCCUAGGCUGAUGGCUCUGUCCGUCUCCCUGGGCAACCGGAUGCCCUUCAGGAUCAAGCAGGUACCGCUGGGUUGGGAGGUGAUGGACGUGUGCCGUGAGCGCACCAACAUUUCUGGCAGUUGUGCAGAAACAAGGUAAAAUCCCUGAUCUUCCUCUGCAAGCGGAUGAACACAAACCCAUCCGCAGCCGCCGCCACUUCUGAGCCGCAUCUUUUGGAAGGUGUGUGGCAGGCCUUCCCCAAAACCACGGGAUGCCAGGCCAUCCUGAGCCCUCAAGGUUUUUGAUGGGACCCUGCUGCCCUCUGACCAGGAAAAGCAAAGAGUGGUUCCUGUUGCCCUCAAGGCCGUUUGUGUGAAGCUUGUGUGAAAGUUUGCUUCCCCCUGGGUGUCUGGCUCACAGGUUGGCAGUGGCAGCCCCACUGGAGGAGAAGUAGGAGUAGGUCAAGAUCGGUUACAGGAAGGAAGAACAGCUCACGAGGCUACGGAAACAGGCUGAAAAGAACCUGAGAAGAAAACUGACGAAUACGCAGAGGUCCUCAAGACUUUCAGGGUCCUGAUCCGCGCCUAAUGAAGACUGUAUUUCUCAAAGGUUAAAAAAAAAAAAGUUCCUAAUUCACUCAUAUGACUUUCACAAUCAGAUGAUGAACCAGAAAGGAUUAUUACGUGCAUUAAUAAAUUUAAUUUUUGAGAAAAUGUUUGUAAUUGG